rnacentral:rRNA from 1 species
UACGUAGGGUGCGAGCGUUGUCCGGAAUUACUGGGCGUAAAGAGCUCGUAGGUGGUUUGUCGCGUUGUUCGUGAAAACUCACAGCUUAACUGUGGGCGUGCGGGCGAUACGGGCAGACUUGAGUACUGCAGGGGAGACUGGAAUUCCUGGUGUAGCGGUGGAAUGCGCAGAUAUCAGGAGGAACACCGGUGGCGAAGGCGGGUCUCUGGGCCAUAACUGACGCUGAGGAGCGAAAGCGUGGGGAGCGAACAGG